GAACGGGAUCCGGACUUCGGUUCGGUGAGAGUGGCGGACGGGUGAGUAACGCGUGGGAACCUGCCCAGUGGUGGGGGAUAACUGCGGGAAACUGCAGCUAAUACCGCAUGAGCCCGAGAGGGGAAAGAUUUAUCGCCAUUGGAGGGGCCCGCGUUCGAUUAGGUAGUUGGUGAGGUAAUGGCUCACCAAGCCGACGAUCGAUAGCUGGUCUGAGAGGAUGAUCAGCCACACUGGGACUGAGAUACGGCCCAGACUCCUACGGGAGGCAGCAGUGGGGAAUAUUGGACAAUGGGGGCAACCCUGAUCCAGCAAUGCCGCGUGAGUGAUGAAGGCCUUCGGGUUGUAGAGCUCUUUUGCC
rnacentral:rRNA from 1 species